UAGUCUGGGUUUUGGAGGCUCUCAGCUUGCUACGAAUGUCGACAAAGACUGUGGGGCCAGCAGAGUACGAGGACUUGGUCAGCAAAUGUGCUUCAGAGAAAUCAGAACUCACCUCAGAGCACACAGCAGCCUCCAGUCAGCAUCCCAGGCAUUUACUUGUUACUUCCUGGGUCACAAAUUCGCUCAGCCACCAAGAUUUCCAGUGGAAAGCUAGCAGCCAUUGCCAACACAGAACACAGCAAACCAAGCGGGCAGGCAGCAAACCAGUCUGGAGAAAAAUGGUUUUAGAGGCAGUCUGACACACUUAGUAUUUGUCACCAUCACCAGAGGCCACUGGGGCUGCUGCCACCCACACGCGUCUCUCUCCACAAGAACCAUCCGUCUCUUAAGAGGACAGAAGCCCCAGGACGGUGCAGGAAGACACUGUUCCCUAUUUGUGAAUACUUUAUUAGAAAGCUUUACAACAAUACAGAAAUUAAAUCAUGUUUAGCAAGAAGUUGUCAGAUUGCUUUUAUUCAGAAUAACGUGACGUGAUGCAGACAGCACGGGCCAUGAGGCUGUCCUACUCCUAGCACCUCGGCUGUGCCCAAAGACACUGCCAAGCUGACAUCGUGUGCGGCAGUCAACUGGCCCAAAACGGGGCGUGACAGGCUCUUCCCAUCGGACAGCCGCUUCUAAGAUGCAGGUGGGCAUCCUGGGUGCCAUGGAGACCAGCCACCAGUGAGUGGGGUGAAGCCCGAGAGAGAGGCCAGGAAACCCAACCUCACAGCCAUGGCGACUGGGUGUAAAAAGCCACGCUGGGGAAAAAGCCAUGCGGUCUGGGGCAUCAUCACGACUAAUAUCGGCUAACUAGCUGGAGACUAUUGUUAGCCAUUACCCCACCACAGCCCGGGCUGACCUUGGGCGGGAGAGCAACAUUCAGACAUUUGUUGCGUCUGGAGCAACAGGCCAGGGUGUAAGGGGAGCCAGCGACCUUCCCAGGACGGCCAGGCUCGCCAGGGCUCCCGCAUGGGCUGCUCUGUCCCGCCAACCCGGCUGGUGCCCAUCAGGAGCCUGUCUAGCACCUCUGUUUUCUCCUCACUUGGUUCUGAUGAUUUCUCCCACCCUACCCCCACAUUUGCACACUCAGAUACAAACACAAGCCUGCCGACGCGGACCGACAUGGAACCAAACCGCAUCCAUAGGGUAAACGCACCAGACGGCAGCUAUCAGGCCACAGCCAGCCAAGCGCUCACCUGUCCGGUCGUCCACGGUCCCGGCCCGCCUUGAGGCUCGGGCUGCAGCCCUGGCUCCUGGACCCCAGAGACUGGCCUCGACCGUGCAGAGCUUCGGCGUGGGCACCAAGCGAUCCAACCCUGCGGCCGGGGUGCCGAGACGCACAGUUAGCACCUGCGACACAGCGCGACCCCGGCGCCGCGUCCCGCCUCAGGGCGCUCGCGGUUGGGAGGCCAGGACCCCUGCGUCAGCCGCGGUCAGCCCGGGACUGCGGACGUCGGGGCCCCGCGCGGUCCCGGCCGAGGCUGCGGACGCACAGGCACCAGCGGCGGCCCCAGACGGAGGGACCGAGGCGCCAGCCCUGCCCCGCUCCCCCGGCGCGCGGGUCCGCUGCCACCGCCCCCGGCUCCGAAAGGCCGCCGGGCCCGGCCCCCACUUGCCCAGAGUUUUCCGGCGCGCUCGACCCAGGGCCGCGGGGUAACCAGGCAGCGCUGAGCCUGCACCUCGUCGUCAGCCGACUGUCCCGCUGCUCAGGACCCAGGCCAGGCCGCCCCGCCGCGCCCGAGCCCACCCGGCCGCCCGUCGCGACCCCGGCUCUGGUCCAGGCCGCUGCACUGCCUACAGGGAGCCGUAGUUCGCGGACCUGGGCCAGUGGGCGGGGCGGGAGCUCCCAGGAGCGCCUGCGCAUAACGCAGGCAGCACCGCGCAAGGGGGCGGGGCGGGAGCUCCCAGGAGACCCCGCGCGUGUGACAUUCCCGGCGCAGACUCGAGUGUACGGUUGCGAUCGAACGGGUGGGCCUGGGCCGGCCGGGCCUGGGGCCUUCUGUGUCUGCGCGAUCGCCUCCUGGCAAAGAAGGCCACAUAGUGAGGAGAGGACGGUCCUCAGAAAGAGAGAGACUCGCGCCUGACGGUCAACUGGGCGAGCGGACACCGGGCACAGAAAGGGGCCGUGGGGAAGUCCCAGUAGAUGAAUGGAGGUUGGCUCCCCCUGGUGUGUCGGUAAACCUCAGACGCACAGUGGAACUGCUGAGGCUCAGGAACUAGUUUGAGGAGUGCCACCGCGACAGAUUGGCUGGAGUCGUUGUUUGACUGUAUGUGAAUGAUAUGGACAGUGGAAAGGCUCUGACCUGACCAAGGGCCCAAAGGGAGACAAAGAGGACUGCGAGGACCAGGCAACCUCAUGCAAGAACCAAGGGACCCUCUGGAGUCCCUGCCCCAGCCUGCAAUUCCCAGCUACACUGGACCUGCAGCUCUGCCUCAACGUGAGCCAGCACCAGCCUAGGAGGACCCAGUCCCUGACACUGCAGCUGCACCAGGAGAAAAAGACUGACUUUAUCCUUGGUUUGAGAGAAAAUUAAAAUGGAAACAAAG
rnacentral:lncRNA from 1 species